UGUGAACAUACCUAUAACUGUUGCUUCGGCGGGUAGGGUCUCCGCGACCCUCCCGGCCUCCCGCCUCCGGGCGGGUCGGCGCCCGCCGGAGGAUAACCAAACUCUGAUUUAACGACGUUUCUUCUGAGUGGUACAAGCAAAUAAUCAAAACUUUUAACAACGGAUCUCUUGGUUCUGGCAUCGAUGAAGAACGCAGCGAAAUGCGAUAAGUAAUGUGAAUUGCAGAAUUCAGUGAAUCAUCGAAUCUUUGAACGCACAUUGCGCCCGCCAGCAUUCUGGCGGGCAUGCCUGUUCGAGCGUCAUUUCAACCCUCAAGCUCUGCUUGGUGUUGGGGCCCUACAGCUGAUGUAGGCCCUCAAAGGUAGUGGCGGACCCUCCCGGAGCCUCCUUUGCGUAGUAACUUUACGUCUCGCACUGGGAUCCGGAGGGACUCUUGCCGUAAAACCCCCAAUUUUCCAAAGGUUGACCUCGGAUCAGGUAGGAAUACC
rnacentral:rRNA from 1 species